rnacentral:rRNA from 1 species
GACGAACGCUGGCGGCGUGCUUAACACAUGCAAGUCGAACGAUGAAGCCGGAGCUUGCUCUGGUGAAUUAGUGGCGAACGGGUGAGUAACACGUGAGUAACCUGCCCUUGACUCUGGGAUAACUGCGGGAAACUGUAGCUAAUACCGGAUACGACCCUCGGAGGCAUCUCCUGGGGAUGGAAAGAAUUUCGGUCAAGGAUGAGCUCGCGGCCUAUCAGCUAGUUGGUGAGGUAAUGGCUCACCAAGGCGACGACGGGUAGCCGGCCUGGGAGGGUGACCGGCCACACUGGAACUGAGACACGGUCCAGACUCCUACGGGAGGCAGCAGUGGGGAAUAUUGCACAAUGGGCGAAAGCCUGAUGCAGCAACGCCGCGUGAGGGAUGAAGGCCUUCGGGUUGUAAACCUCUUUUAGCAGGGAAGAAGCGAAAGUGACGGUACCUGCAGAAAAAGCACCGGCUAACUACGUGCCAGCAGCCGCCGUAA